rnacentral:rRNA from 1 species
GUCUAUGGCCAGACCACACUGAAAGCUCCCAAUCUCAUCCAAUCUCAAAAGCUAAGCAGGGUCAGGCCUGGUUAGUACUUGGAUGGGAGAGGCUCUUCAGAAGAGACUGCUCAGAGACA